rnacentral:rRNA from 1 species
UGGGGAAUAUUGGACAAUGGGCGAAAGCCUGAUCCAGCCAUGCCGCGUGUGUGAAGAAGGUCUUCGGAUUGUAAAGCACUUUAAGUUGGGAGGAAGGGCAUUAACCUAAUACGUUAGUGUUUUGACGUUACCGACAGAAUAAGCACCGGCUAACUCUGUGCCAGCAGCCGCGGUAAUACAGAGGGGGCAAGCGUUAAUCGGAAUUACUGGGCGUAAAGCGCUCGUAGGUGGUUUGGUAAUUUGGAUGUGAAAUCCCCGGGCUCAACCUGGGAACUGCAUUCAAAACUGACUGACUAGAGUAUGGUAGAGGGUGGUGGAAUUUCCUGUGUAGCGGUGAAAUGCGUAGAUAUAGGAAGGAACACCAGUGGCGAAGGCGACCACCUGGACUAAUACUGACACUGAGGUGCGAAAGCGUGGGGAGCAAACA